GUAGGUAGUACGGUAAGU
rnacentral:misc_RNA from 1 species